rnacentral:rRNA from 1 species
UACGUAGGUGGCAAACGUUGUCCGGAAUUACUGGGCGUAAAGGGCGUGUAGGCGGCCUUUUAAGUCAGGCGUGAAAUCCAUGGGCUUAACCCAUGAAUUGCGUUUGAAACUGGAGGGCUUGAGGAUCGGAGAGGGCAGUGGAAUUCCCAGUGUAGCGGUGAAAUGCGUAGAUAUUGGGAGGAACACCAGUGGCGAAGGCGACUGCCUGGACGACACCUGACGCUGAGGCGCGAAAGCUAGGGGAGCAAACGGG